GACGAACGCUGGCGGCGUGCUUAACACAUGCAAGUCGAACGGGGCGAAGUGAUAGCUUGCUAUUAUGGAGCCUAGUGGCAAACGGGUGAGUAACGCGUAGGCAACCUGCCCUUCAGAUGGGGACAACACCUCGAAAGGGGUGCUAAUACCGAAUGACGUUUCCUAGUCGCAUGACCUGGAAACCAAAGGCCGGGCAACCGGUCACUGAAGGAUGGGCCUGCGUCUGAUUAGCUAGUUGGUGAGGUAACGGCUCACCAAGGCGACGAUCAGUAGCCGGUCUGAGAGGAUGAACGGCCACAUUGGGACUGAGAUACGGCCCAGACUCCUACGGGAGGCAGCAGUGGGGAAUAUUGGGCAAUGGGGGAAACCCUGACCCAGCAACGCCGCGUGAAGGAAGAAGGCCUUCGGGUUGUAAACUUCUUUUACCAGGGACGAACAAAUGACGGUACCUGGAGAAAAAGCAACGGCUAACUACGUG
rnacentral:rRNA from 1 species